AUUGAACGCUGGCGGCAGGCCUAACACAUGCAAGUCGAACGGCAGCACAGAAGAGCUUGCUCUUUGGGUGGCGAGUGGCGGACGGGUGAGUAAUGUCUGGGAAACUGCCCGAUGGAGGGGGAUAACUACUGGAAACGGUAGCUAAUACCGCAUAACGUCGCAAGACCAAAGUGGGGGACCUUCGGGCCUCACACCAUCGGAUGUGCCCAGAUGGGAUUAGCUAGUAGGUGGGGUAAUGGCUCACCUAGGCGACGAUCCCUAGCUGGUCUGAGAGGAUGACCAGCCACACUGGAACUGAGACACGGUCCAGACUCCUACGGGAGGCAGCAGUGGGGAAUAUUGCACAAUGUGCGCAAGCCUGAUGCAGCCAUGCCGCGUGUAUGAAGAAGGCCUUCGGGUUGUAAAGUACUCUCAGCGGGGAGGAAGGCGGUGAGGUUAAUAACCUCGCCGAUUGACGUUACCCGCAGAAGAAGCACCGGCUAACUCCGUGCCAGCAGCCGCGGUAA
rnacentral:rRNA from 1 species